CAAUUUCUAUUUUAAUUCAUUGAUGAAGUAGCAAAUGUAUUCAUAACAGGGAACCACAAGCUAAACAAGCACAUAUGAACAUUAUCAGGCAAUUAGUUUUGGAGUUUAUAUAUGUUCCCCUUCUAAGUCUCUAACAUACUACAACAAGUCAACGAAAGACCUUGCUCCUUCUGCUGGAUCUCCUGUAGAUUGUUUAAAAGAACAACAUAAUACGCUAGAAUUUCAUGAGGUAAAAGUAAGAAUUUUAAACAUCACAAACACUAUCACGGAGUUCUGAUUUGAUGAUUGGAACAUUAGAUGUGUGUGUGUAAGGAGAUUCCUCAACUCAGAAGGCGAGAAAGGGAGAACUCCAAAACCUCACGUGACAUCUCCGUACCUCUGGAAUCACUGCCAAAAUAUUAAUUUUAUGGGACACUGGACAACAGUAAGCCCUUCACAGUUGGUACCCUUCAUGCCCCCUCUCACAACAUGCAUCAAAAAAAAUCCAACCGAUGACCACCAAAAACAAGCCUUGGACUUCUCACCAUCCAUGCACUCCUUCCUGCCUUUAAUAAUUCAAGGACCCAAGAAAAGUCAAGGUGAUCACAAGACGACUCAACCUUCCAGACCUUGGGAAAAUAAGCCCUCUUGGUCUCCAUGCUAAAAAGUCUUCCACCAAUGGCACCCAUACGCUUCACAAGAAAACAAGGGAACAAACAAACAAAGAGAUGGUGUUCAAAGACAUAAAUAUCAUCACCAGAGAGAGAGAGCAUACUUUGAAGGGUCGCGUGCAAGGAUGAUACAACACUCGCAUGGUAAGUGCAUAGAAAAAGGUGUGGAGGGGCCUCCAAUGACUCCCAACUGCUCUCUUAGAAGAGAGCCUUUGGGACUCUAGCUGAGAAUAGUUCUUACGUGCUUGAACUGGAG
rnacentral:lncRNA from 1 species